AUGCAUAAAUCCUACCAACUCCAACACUUCACUCCACUUCACUUCACUCCUCUCCACUCCGCUCAGCUCGAGCUAGCUGCAUUUUGCAUACCAAUGGCAAUGGGCAAGAGCUCUGUCUUGGUCUUGCUGGUGCUGUUGGUGGUGGCCACCGACGUUUCCAGCCGAGCCACAUACACAGGAAGCAUCACCUCGGCUGCAGGUGUAACGACGGCGCCGGCGAAGAAGCACGGCCAUUGGGGCACGCUGAAGCCGAAGCCGAAGGUGGCCGACAAGCAGGUGCCUGCGCUGGUGGUGUUUGGCGACUCCAUCGUGGACACGGGCAACAACAACGCCAUCCACACCAUCGUCAAGGCCAACUUCCCGCCCUACGGGCACGACUUUGGCGCCGACCACCGCCCCACCGGCCGCUUCUGCAACGGCAGGAUCCCCACCGACUUCAUCGCCUCCAAGCUGGGGCUCAAGCAGCUGCUCCCGGCCUACCUGCAGCAGAACCUAACAAAACAGGACCUGCUCACCGGCGUCAGCUUCGCGUCGGGAGGAACAGGCUACGACCCGCUCACGGCACAGCUCGCCUCCGUCAUCUCCAUGACGGACCAGCUCCGCAUGUUCCACGAGUACAAGGCCAAGGUCCGGGCCCUCGCCGGCGACGCCGCUCUCUCGGAGAUCCUCUCGAAGGGAGUCUUCGCGGUGUGCGCCAGCAGCGACGACGUGGCCAACACCUACUUCACCAUGCGGGCGCGCAGCUCCUACUCGCACGUGGACUACGCGUCCCUCAUCGUGUCCCACGCAUCCACCUUCCUCGACGGCCUGCUCUCCGCGGGGGCCAAGCGGGUGGCCAUCAUCUCCAUGCCGCCCAUCGGGUGCGUGCCGUCCCAGCGCACGCUCUCGGGCGGCCUUGGACGGGACUGCUCGUCGGGCCACAACGAGAUCGCCGAGAUGAUCAACGCCGGUAUGGGCACCACGGUGGAGUCUCUCAAGGCCAAACACCCGGGGGCGAGGGUCGUGCUCAUGGACAUCUACGGGUACUUGUUCGACAUGAUGAUGCGCCCGGAGGGGUACGGGUUCAAGGAGUCCACCCUGGGCUGCUGCGGCACGGGGAUGAUGGAGGUCUCCGUGCUCUGCAACGGCGUCACGUCGGCGGUGUGCGGCGACGUGACCGACUAUUUGUUCUGGGACAGCUACCACCCCACGGAGAAGGCGUACCGGAUCCUCGUCGACUUCGUCUACGACAACUACCUCAAGGAGCUCAUCGACUAG
rnacentral:rRNA from 1 species